rnacentral:rRNA from 1 species
GUCUAUGGCCAUACCACCCUGAAUACUCCAAAUCCUGUCUGUUCUGGGAAGCUAAGCAGCACUGAUCCUGGUUAGUACUUGGAUGGGAGACAUUCAGGAAGGUACAGAUG